rnacentral:rRNA from 1 species
GACGAACGCUGGCGGCGUGCUUAACACAUGCAAGUCGAACGGAAAGGCCCUGCUUUUGUGGGGUGCUCGAGUGGCGAACGGGUGAGUAACACGUGAGUAACCUGCCCUUGACUUUGGGAUAACUUCAGGAAACUGGGGCUAAUACCGGAUAGGAGCUCCUGCUGCAUGGUGGGGGUUGGAAAGUUUCGGCGGUUGGGGAUGGACUCGCGGAUUAUCAGCUUGUUGGUGGGGUAGUGGCUUACCAAGGCUUUGACGGGUAGCCGGCCUGAGAGGGUGACCGGCCACAUUGGGACUGAGAUACGGCCCAGACUCCUACGGGAGGCAGCAGUGGGGAAUAUUGCACAAUGGGCGGAAGCCUGAUGCAGCAACGCCGCGUGCGGGAUGACGGCCUUCGGGCUGUAAACCGCUUUCGCCUGUGACGAAGCGUGAGUGACGGUAAUGGGUAAAGAAGCACCGGCUGACUACGUG